CCUACGGGAGGCAGCAGUGAGGAAUAUUGGUCAAUGGACGAGAGUCUGAACCAGCCAAGUAGCGUGAAGGAUGACUGCCCUAUGGGUUGUAAACUUCUUUUAUAAAGGAAUAAAACGAGGCACGUGUGCCUUUUUGCAUGUACUUUAUGAAUAAGGAUCGGCUAACUCCGUGCCAGCAGCCGCGGUAAUACGGAGGAUCCGCGCGUUAUCCGGAUUUAUUGGGUUUAAAGGGAGCGUAGAUGAGUUGUUAAGUCAGUUGUGAAAGGUUGCGGCUCAACCGUAAAAUUGCAAUUGAUACUGGCAGUCUUGAGUACAGUUGAGGUAGGCGGAAUUCGUGGUGUAGCGGUGAAAUGCUUAGAUAUCACGAAGAACCCCGAUUGCGAAGGCAGCUUACUAAACUGUGACUGACAUUGAUGCUCGAAAGUGUGGGUAUCAAACAGGAUUAGAUACCCCGGUAGUC
rnacentral:rRNA from 1 species